rnacentral:sRNA from 1 species
CUUAAUCAGGAGCAGGGUGCUUUGGUGAGAACCCAUUGUUCAAGCCGAGGCCUCCGCAGGAGGCCGAGACAACGUCGCCGCGACAGCGGCGGCGGCCCGAAGGGCGAGGGGCAUAGCCCCGAGUAAUCCCACCCUCUCCGCCA